ACAUCAUUUCUGCUCGGGUGCAGUGUGGCGUCGGUCAUACCAUAUCCUCGCGGUACCGUGACAAGAUGGUGGCGGCAAGGAGGUGCCGUGUGUGUCACAUCCGGUUGACCGGCGGCUAUCACUGGAACAUCGCACUGGAGAGGCUAACAGAGUCCAUCCGGGUGCCGUGCGCCAACACCGCCCACGGCUGCACUGCCACGCCGGCCUACUACGACCACCCCGACCACCUCAAGGCGUGCCCUCACGAUGCCAUGCUAUUGCCCGCAGGCAGACUGCGGUUUCGCUAGCUCCACGGCGGCACUCCUGGACCACUUUGCCCACACGCAUGGGUGGCCGUGCAUGAACGAGCUUGGGCCUGGGCGUGCGUCGAGGUCCAGCUCUGUGACGGCUUCAACGCCUUCUCAGCCCGUGCCCAAUGCCGGCAGUACCUGUUCCUGCUGAACGUGGCGUUGAACCCGUUUGGCCGAGCGGUCUCCGUGCUCUCCCUGCAUCCUCGGGCGUUGUCGGCGGCGCCAUGUUCUUUGGAGUUCGAGGUAAGACUCAGGUACUGCUGCAACAUCAACCACCGUGGCGACACCAGGAAACUACGUUUAAAGUAGGGUGCACUGAUCUCUCUGAACUCAGAUUUAUGACAAGGACACAAGCAAAUUUAUAGCAUCCGUUGUGAUGAUACAAGGGAAGUAAGCAUAGAUGCGCUCAACGUGAUGAUAGAUGGGAGAGCUCGGCCUAUGCUGCCAACUGAUCUGCAGUGGUGCAGAAGGAGAUUUCAAAAGCAGGGCAAGCGAGAGCGACUGUUCUAUUGAUGGUCAAAGGGAGGGCUUGGCAAGAGAGAUUGAGGGAGCUCUACUACCUCGAUCUUGGCAUAGAACCUGAUGGCAUCAUGCCCAGGAAACUUCCUUCUUCAGUAUGUAUGGGGAUUUAUAUGACACCAAAAGAGAAGUCCGGCGUGUUUCUUGGUUCUAUGGAACCCCUCGACCGGAAGCAAAUAGAUCACAUCGCAAGUUGCUUGCCCAAUAUAAUCGUGCCGCAAGUUACCAACAUCGCGUGCUUAUACACCAUCGACUUUGCUGGAAAUCUAUCUGUCCGUGCUCCACCGUCUGUCGGAACUUCUUCUGCCCAUGCUACACCUGAGGUACAUACUACAGUCUCAUCAAUUAAUAAUACCCAAUUGCUUGUCUGUUG